CCUACGGGAGGCAGCAGUAGGGAAUAUUGCUCAAUGGGGGAAACCCUGAAGCAGCAACGCCGCGUGGAUGAUGAAGGUUUUCGGAUCGUAAACUCCUUUUGUUAGAGAAGAUAAUGACGGUAUCUAACGAAUAAGCAUCGGCUAACUCCGUGCCAGCAGCCGCGGUAAUACGGAGGGUGCAAGCGUUACUCGGAAUCACUGGGCGUAAAGAGAGCGUAGGCGGGGUAGCAAGGCAGAUGUGAAAUCCUAUGGCUUAACCAUAGAACUGCAUUUGAGACUGUUAUUCUAGAGUAUGGGAGAGGUGGGUGGAAUUCUUGGUGUAGGGGUAAAAUCCGUAGAGAUCAAGAGGAAUACUCAUUGCGAAGGCGACCUGCUAGAACAUAACUGACGCUGAUGCGCGAAAGCGUGGGGAGCAAACAGGAUUAGAUACCCCAGUAGUC
rnacentral:rRNA from 1 species